UACGUAGGAUGCAAGCGUUGUCCGGAAUUAUUGGGCGUAAAGAGUUCGUAGGCGGUUGCCUAAGUCUGUUGUUAAAGGCCUGAGCUCAACUCGGGUAUGGCAAUGGAUACUGGGCAGCUAGAGUGUGGUAGAGGUCACGGGAAUUCCAGGUGUAGCGGUGAAAUGCGUUGAUAUCAGGAGGAACACCCAUGGCGAAGGCAGCAAACUGGGCAUCAACUGACGCUGAGGCGCGAAAGCGUGGGUAGCAAACAGG
rnacentral:rRNA from 1 species